UUCGGAUUGCAGUCUGCAACUCGACUGCAUGAAGCUGGAAUCGCUAGUAAUCGCGAAUCAGAAUGUCGCGGUGAAUACGUUCCCGGGCCUUGUACACACCGCCCGUCACACCAUGGGAGUUGGAAGCACCCGAAGUCGGUGACCUGACCGAAAGGGAGGAGCCGCCGAAGGUGAAGCCAGCGACUGGGGUGAAGUCGUAACAAGGUAGC
rnacentral:rRNA from 1 species